GGCGAAUUCACUAGUGAUUCAGGCCUAACACAUGCAAGUCGAACGGUAACAGGUCUUCGGAUGCUGACGAGUGGCGAACGGGUGAGUAAUACAUCGGAACGUGCCCAGUAAUGGGGGAUAGCCCGGCGAAAGCCGGAUUAAUACCGCAUACGCCCUGAGGGGGAAAGUGGGGGACCGCAAGGCCUCACGUUAUUGGAGCGGCCGAUGGCUGAUUAGCUAGUUGGUAGGGUAAAGGCCUACCAAGGCGACGAUCAGUAGCUGGUCUGAGAGGACGAUCAGCCACACUGGGACUGAGACACGGCCCAGACUCCUACGGGAGGCAGCAGUGGGGAAUUUUGGACAAUGGGGGAAACCCUGAUCCAGCAAGGCCGCGUGUGCGAAGAAGGCCUUCGGGUGUAAA
rnacentral:rRNA from 1 species